AUUGAACGCUGGCGGCAGGCCUAACACAUGCAAGUCGAGCGGUAACAGAGGAGCUUGCUCCUGCUGACGAGCGGCGGACGGGUGAGUAAUGUAUGGGGAUCUGCCCGAUAGAGGGGGAUAACUACUGGAAACGGUGGCUAAUACCGCAUAAUGUCGCAAGACCAAAGAGGGGGACCUUCGGGCCUCUUGCUAUCGGAUGAGCCCAUAUGGGAUUAGCUAGUAGGUGGGGUAAUGGCUCACCUAGGCGACGAUCUCUAGCUGGUCUGAGAGGAUGACCAGCCACACUGGAACUGAGACACGGUCCAGACUCCUACGGGAGGCAGCAGUGGGGAAUAUUGCACAAUGGGGGAAACCCUGAUGCAGCCAUGCCGCGUGUGUGAAGAAGGCCUUAGGGUUGUAAAGCACUUUCAGUCGGGAGGAAGGGGUUGGGGUUAAUAACCUUAAUCAUUGACGUUACUGACAGAAGAAGCACCGGCUAACUCCGUGCCAGCAGCCGCGGUAA
rnacentral:rRNA from 1 species